rnacentral:tRNA from 1 species
GGAAUCGUGCCUGAAUAAAGGGUCACUAUGAUAAAGUGAACAUAGAGGUGCAACAACCCUCUCGCUUCCU